rnacentral:rRNA from 1 species
UAGGGAAUCUUCCGCAAUGGACGCAAGUCUGACGGAGCAACGCCGCGUGAGUGAAGAAGGAUUUCGGUUCGUAAAACUCUGUUGUUAGAGAAGAACAGCGCAUAGAGUAACUGUUAUGCGUGUGACGGUAUCUAACCAGAAAGCCACGGCUAACUACGUGCCAGCAGCCGCGGUAAUACGUAGGUGGCAAGCGUUGUCCGGAUUUAUUGGGCGUAAAGCGAGCGCAGGCGGUCAAUUAAGUCUGAUGUGAAAGCCCCCGGCUCAACCGGGGAGGGUCAUUGGAAACUGGUUGACUUGAGUGCAGAAGAGGAGGGUGGAAUUCCAUGUGUAGCGGUGAAAUGCGUAGAUAUAUGGAGGAACACCAGUGGCGAAGGCGACUCUCUGGUCUGUAACUGACGCAGAGGUUCGAAAGCGUGGGUAGCAAACAGG